CAGAACAAGUACCAGCAGGCAGAGGAGCUAUACAAGGAGAUCCUCAGCGGCGAAGACCUGCCCGCGCCCCUGGGAGCCCCCAACACAGGUGCAGCUGGUGACGCAGCACAGCAGGCCCUUCGGCGCAGCAGCUCCUUCUCCAAGCUCCGCGAGUCCAUCCGGCGUGGAAGCGAGAAGUUGGUGUCCCGCCUCCGAG